rnacentral:lncRNA from 1 species
GCUGCCUCGCUAAACGAUGCACACCUGUAACUCACGUGACCCUGAUUAUUAUUGAAAUGAGAACGAGGGCAUGGCUUCAUUUGCAAAGGUGGUUGUGUGUGUCCUCAUUGCUUGUGUCUGUAAUGCAUUCUGUUUUCCGAAGAGAGAUGUGAACUUUAAGGCCUCUGCAGUUGACCGCCAAAGUGAUGAUGUGGUUGUCACCACAACACCCGUUCCCCACAACCAGACCACAUCUGCCCAUACUGAAGCUGGUAGUGGUGCAAGUGAAGAUGCUGUGGCUACAACCCCAGCACCUAAUCCACACAACCAGACAACUUCUGAAGUUACUGAUGGAGCCAGUGAAGAUGCUGUGGACCGCCAAAGUGAUGAUGUGGUUGUCGCCACAACACCCGAUCCCCACAACCAGACACAACAAUCAAUCCAGACACAACAAUCUGUCCAUACUGAAGCUGGUGGUGGUGCAAGUGAAGAUGCUGUGGCUACUACCCCAGCACCUAAUCCACACAACCAGACAACUUCUGCACAAGCUGAAGUUACUGAUGGAGCCAGUGAAGAUGCUGUGGACUGCCAAAGUGAUGUGGUUGUCGCCACAACACCCAAUCCCCACAACCAGACCACACCCGCCAAUACUGAAGCUGGUGAUGGAGCAAGUGAAGAUGCUCUGGAUACCACCCCAACACCAAAUCCCCCAACUACAUCUGACCACACUGCAGCUACCGUAUCCCAUAUGACUGAUGUCUGAUUCGACUGCUCCUCUGGUCACAAUGACCUGAGUCACUGUCUGGACUUUUUGCCUCUACAUGUUGACUGCAAUAAAGGACAGAUUUAUUUUCA